rnacentral:rRNA from 1 species
UGGGGAAUUUUUGACAAUGGGGGAAACCCUGAUCCAGCCAUCCCGCGUGUGCGAUGAAGGCCUUCGGGUUGUAAAGCACUUUUGGCAGGAAAGAAACGUCAUGGGUUAAUACCCCGUGAAACUGACGGUACCUGCAGAAUAAGCACCGGCUAACUACGUGCCAGCAGCCGCGUUAAUACUUAGGGUGCAAGCGUUAAUCGGAAUUAAUGGGCGUAAAGCGUGCGAAGGGGGUGUGGAAAGAAAGAUGUGAAAUCCCGGAGCUCAACUUUGGAACUGCAUUUGUAACUACAGGGCUAGAGUGUGUCAGAGGGAGGUGGAAUUCCGAGUGUAGCAGUGAAAUGCGUAGAUAUGAGGAGGAACACCGAUGGCGAAGGCAGCCUCCUGGGAUAACACUGACGCUCAUGCACGAAAGCGUGGGGAGCAAACAGG